AACUCCUGUGUCAAAAUUCGA
rnacentral:miRNA from 1 species